AAAUGUUACUCUGUGAUUUAUUUUCCAGGGAACCAGAGACCACCUGAUGACAACAUUGAUUUAAACUCAGUAAGAAGCCGAACAGCGAAGCGUUCUGGUCCAGCAGCCAGUCAGGAGCAGAAUGAUGAAGAUGAUGGUGCGGUGAACUAUGAAAACUUUGGAGAACCUUCUACUUCUGU